rnacentral:rRNA from 1 species
AUUGAACGCUGGCGGCAGGCCUAACACAUGCAAGUCGAACGAGUGGCGGACGGGUGAGUAAUGUCUGGGAAACUGCCUGAUGGAGGGGGAUAACUACUGGAAACGGUAGCUAAUACCGCAUACCAUCGGAUGUGCCCAGAUGGGAUUAGCUAGUAGGUGGGGUAAAGGCUCACCUAGGCGACGAUCCCUAGCUGGUCUGAGAGGAUGACCAGCCACACGGGAACUGAGACACGGUCCAGACUCCGACGGGAGGCAGCAGUGGGGAAUAUUGCACAAUGGGCGCAAGCAUGAUGCAGCCAUGCCGAGGGUAUGAAGAAUGCCUUCGGGUUGUAAAGUACUGUCAGCGGGGAGGCGGUACCCGCAGAAGAAGCACCGGCUAACUCCGUGCCAGAAGCCGCGGUAAUUA